UACGAAGGGGGCGAGCGUUGUUCGGAAUUACUGGGCGUAAAGGGCGCGCAGGCGGCUCUGCAGGUCAGAUGUGAAAGCCCCGGGCUUAACCUGGGAACUGCAUUUGAUACUCUAGAGCUUGAGUACGGGAGAGGAGAGUGGAAUUCCCAGUGUAGAGGUGAAAUUCGUAGAUAUUGGGAAGAACACCGGUGGCGAAGGCGGCUCACUGGCCCGUUUCUGACGCUCAGGCGCGACAGCGUGGGGAUCAAACAGG
rnacentral:rRNA from 1 species